GAGUCCGAAAGAAUGAAGAUGGACUAGUUUCCAGGACAUCCUAGCUAUGUAGAGCUGGAAAGGCAGACAGUGAAAUCAUAUUAUUCAGGUGCCAAGCCUCAAAGGACGACAACUUAAGCACAGAUAUACCAUCACAAAUUUAGUGAUCGGAAGAGCAAUAUUUACCAAAAGUUGGAGCGGAGAGGAGUGGACGUCAGAACCUGGAAAUCCUACGAUGGGGGAGGCCAAGGUGAGCUCUGUAGCGAUAGGUGUGGCUGUGGGCUGCUCCUUCCUGGCCCUACUCAUCCUCAUUGGCAUCAUGCAAUUCUGCUGCAAGAAACCCUGCAAAAAAUGCAAGAAAAAGGAGUCAUCACUGAAAGAUAAAGUGCUGACGAAGGUCCGACUAAAGAAGUCUCACCCUCCCUUCUCCAUCAGUGGCUGCAUGAACUAGAAGAACGGCAUUACAGAAAACAAAAAAGUAUUUCUGUUGAUAAAAUUAGCACUUUUGAGACAUUCACUGUUGAAACCCCUGACGUCCCUUACAUCGCUAUUAUAAACUACUUACCAAUGUAAAUAGUAAAGAUACAUAUUGUGUUAUGUCCAUGAUAUAUGGUGUACAGUUCUUUUCCCAAUUGAGUACACAAUAUUCUCGGAAUACAGUUUAUUUCUGAAUGCUUAAUAAACACUAACAGUAAUUGUUGAAGCACAAUCUCUGAAACCAUUAACCAUUAGCCAAUGCAUUUAGCAAGUGUGCCAGUCUGAAUGCACAUUUACUGCUUUACUGCUUUGCACUUCAUUUCAUAACGCACUUCUAGCAAAUCUGUAAAAACUGGUCUCCACAUUGAUACACUAUUUCACCAGUUGCCUCUCCACAUUGACGCAUUAUCUAAACUUUUAGAUAAUGAGUUCACACACAAAUCUGUCGCCUAUAUAAAUAGGCUACAGCUUCACAUUAUCCUAUUUCUGGACACCCUCCACGAGGGUGUGACUCUGAUAUUGGGAUAUUGGGCGGGGCACAUUUGACUGCAGUGUGAAUGUUAAUUUAUUCACCAAAAUCUAUCUAUUUAUAUCUAGUUUUUCCACAUCUAGUUUUGAUUCUCUUUGUCCAUGACUACGUUAGAUAUAAACACACUCUAUAGACACACUGGUUAAAAAAGGUAUUGAAAUUAUUGACCGAUCAAGUGCCAAUAGGCCCAGUGCGACACAGUUUUGCUCGGAGGUAGUCUGGUUGAAAAUACUGGGGAAAAUAAUUGUUUCCACAAUGCUGUCUCACAAUACUCAUUAUGUCUGGAAAGGAUGUAGCAAAUGCAUUGGGUGCUGACUAACUCUGAGCAAAGGGCAAUAGAUGGUAUGUGGUGCUGGGCCUGUUAUUGAUGAGCCCCACACACCCUACCCACACAUCCUGUCCAUACCUCCUGAUAGAAGUUUUCCAUGUGACUGUCAUAGACUGUAUGA